GAUGAACGCUGGCGGCGUGCUUAACACAUGCAAGUCGAACGGAAAGGCGCUGCUCUUGUGGGGUGCUCGAGUGGCGAACGGGUGAGUAACACGUGAGUAACCUGCCCUUGUCUUUGGGAUAACUUCAGGAAAAUGCGGCUAUUACCGGAUAGGAGCUCCUGCUGCAUGGUGGGCGUUGGAAAGUUUCGGCGGUUGGGGAUAGACUCGCGGCUUAUCCGCUGGUUGGUGGGGUAGUGGCUUACCAAGGUUUCGACGGCUAGCCGGCCUGGGAGCGUGACCAGCGACAUUGGGACUGAGAUACGGCGCAGACGCCUACGGGAGGCAGCAGUGGGGAAUAUUACACAAUGGGCGGAAGCCAGUGGCAGCAACGCCGCGUGCGUGAUGAUGGCCUUCGGGUUGUAAACCGCUGUCGCCGGUGACGAAGCGAGAGUGACGGUAAUGGGUAAAAAAGCACCGGCUAACUACGUG
rnacentral:rRNA from 1 species